AAAACAAACGCUUAGCGGAUUUGGAAGGCUACCUUGACAUGGUAGAGGUCCCCAGUUCGAAUCUGGGUAGUCCUACCA
rnacentral:tRNA from 1 species